rnacentral:rRNA from 1 species
UACAGAGGGGGCAAGCGUUAUUCGGAAUUAUUGGGCGUAAAGGGCGCGUAGGCGGCGAUUCAAGUGACGGGUGAAAUCCCUCGGCUUAACCGAGGAACUGCCUGUCAGACUGGAUUGCUUGAGGCCGGGAGAGGCGAGUGGAAUUCCUGGUGUAGAGGUGAAAUUCGUAGAUAUCAGGAGGAACACCGGUGGCGAAGGCGACCACCUGGACGGAGACUGACGCUGAGGUGCGAAAGCGUGGGGAGCAAACAGG